AGGCGGUAGGUGGUCCACUCGUCCUGCGGCUUGGCGCCGAACGAUUGGUAGAAGUCGAUGGCCGGCUGGUUCCAGUCCAGCACCGCCCA
rnacentral:tRNA from 1 species